rnacentral:rRNA from 1 species
UGGGCUUGACAUCCUGAGAAGAUAUUGGAAACAUAAUUGUAACCUUCGGGGAAUUCAGUGAC